ACGGUUUUGCUACACUUUGAGGAAGGAAAAAGAGAGCUUUUGUUGCAAUUUUUGGAGGAAGAAGAAAGCUAAAAAUUUAUGAGGUAAGAAGCUGAUAUUUGCUGCACUUUGAGAGAGAAAAUUUGGUGCUUUUUAGAGGGAUUUUGAUGCUAAAAAUUUAAGAUUUUUGCUGCUGAAUUUUUAGGUUAUGUUGCUGGAAAUUUUUUGAGGUUUUUGCUGCCAUUGAAAGACAACUUUGGUUGCUGAAAAUUUGAGCUGUUUGCCACCAAUUUGUGCAGAAAAAUUAGAGCUAUUUGUUGAUAGUUUGUGUAGGAAAAUUGGACAGCUUUUUGCUGCCAAAAUUAAGAAGUUUUGUUGUUGGAAAUUUGAGCUGAAAAUUUGUUGAUUUUAGAGCAGAAAAUGGCAACAAAAAGGGUGAGAAAAUGAGGCUUUUGGUGAUCGAUUUUGAGAGGAAAGGAAGAGAGGAAGCCACGGUGGUGAAGGGAGUGACGGGUUGGAAAGAAAAAAAGAAGAAGAAGAAACAUGGAAGAGAGAAAAAGAAAGAAAAAGAAAAGAAAAGAAAUAGAAAAUAAAAAUGGGCAUGGCCCAAUAGGAGAUAAAUGGGCUUAGCCCAAAUAGGAAAAAUUGGAAAAGCCCAUGAAAGGGGGGCUUCAAAGGUCAUAAAGAAAUGAAAAAGGGCCAAUGAUAAGGAUUAGCCUAGCGUGUAGUCAGUGACGUGUUCGGUCCACCAUGAAUAGGCUUGUUCGAGACUUGGCUGGUCUUUUUCGGAAGUCUUGGACGUCGACAGCGAUUGGGGAAAGGUCAUUGCAAUAGUGGUAUCAAAGCCCUAGGUUUAGUUGAGUCCUAGGAUAUUCUUGUGUUAAAUAGUGGAGUAGUGGAGUCGACGUAGAGUCUUGUUUAUAGUCAGUGAUUGCAACACCGAUUAUAGACAAGAGGCUGCGUGACUCUUUAUCUUAGAAAACCACCUUGUGUAAUCAUAAGUGAUGAUUAAAUAACAAGAAUUGA